rnacentral:rRNA from 1 species
CCCUUAGAUGUCCGGGGCCGCACGCGCGCUACACUGAAGGAAUCAGCGUGGCUUUCUCCCUGACCCGAAAGGGUUGGGAAACCCGUUGAAUCUCCUUCGUGAUAGGGAUUGGGGCUUGAAAUUGUUCCCCAUGAACGAGGAAUUCCCAGUAAGCGCGAGUCAUAAGCUCGCGUUGAUUACGUCCCUGCCCUUUGUACACACCGUCCGUCGCUACUACCGAUUGAACGGUUUAGUGAGGGCCUCGGAUUGGUCUCGGCCCGCUCUUCACCGGGCGGCGCCGUUGGUCGAGAAGACGCUCGAACUUGAUCGUUUAGAGGAAGUAAAAGUCGUAACA